AGGUAACGCGUAUGCAACCUACCUAUCAGGAGGGGAAUAACCCGGACGAAAGUCGGACUAAUACCGCAUAAAACAGGGGCACCGCAUGGUGAUAUUUGUUAAAGAAAUUCGCUGAUAGAUGGGCAUGCGUUCCAUUAGGUAGUUGGUGAGGUAACGGCUCACCAAGCCGACGAUGGAUAGGGGAACUGAGAGGUUGGUCCCCCACACUGGUACUGAGACACGGACCAGACUCCUACGGGAGGCAGCAGUGAGGAAUAUUGGUCAAUGGGCGAGAGCCUGAACCAGCCAAGUCGCGUAGAAGGAAGAAGGAUCUAUGGUUACGUAAACUUCUUUGCAGGGGAAUAAAGUGCAGGACGUGUCCUGUUUUGUAUGUACCCUGAGAAUAAGGAUCGGCUAACUCCGUGCCAGCAGCCGC
rnacentral:rRNA from 1 species